UUUUAUACAAGUGAGAUCAUUUUGAAAGCUGAUUUUGUCAAUGAAUACCACAUUCCACAUUCCAAUGGUUGUUGUUGUUCGUUUUUUGUGUGCCUACACAACGCCAUAACGAUAUCGUGUAACAAAGCUUUGAACUAUUGCCGACGACAGACGAGUCGGAGUCGGAGUCGGAGCUGCUGAUGGAGUUGGAGUUGAAGGUGAGUACAAUAAGCUUGGAAUGCAGCCAGAGAGCAAGCCAGCCUGGGAGAGAGUAAGCUUAUGGGACAGAGAGGUUGCGCCUGCGCUGUCUCUCUCUGUCUUUCUCUCUUUCAUUUAUUUUGUAGUUUUGCUGUCUCACCAAGGUGAAUCGGAGCUGGAGUUGGAACUGGAACUGGAGUCGUAGUUGGAGCUGAAAAAUGAGACAGCGUUGGAGUAGGGGAGUGGGAGGUGGGGUGGGGUCGCUUGGGUAAAGGCAAACAACAUUCCAGGCAUGCCAAACAACUUGAUGGCGGUAUUUGUCUGCCCUGUUUGUCCAUUACAAAAGCCCUUUUCCAGUCGUAAACGAAUGAUAAGAGAUCCCCCGGCCAGAUAAGCGAUAUGUGCAGCCAACUUUCAGAUCAACCGCUGAACGGGUGUGCCACCGUUGGCAUGUGGCAAUGGCCUCUCCUGGAGCACCAGCAGCGCCCUGCGGAUCGGAGCGGAGCUCACAAUUUUCAUUCAUGAAACGGCCUGCCUGCGCCAGUCCAAAGUGGAGCACAAGAGGAAAGCUAUGCGCCCGAAAAAAGUCGUGAUAAACAUAUUUACCAAUUGAUUAUGUUCCAACACACAUGCAUACAUACAUUAUACAUAUAUGCAUGUAUGUAUUUGUAGUAGGGAGAGGAGAGACAGCAAAACACUUACAUAAGUAAUGGCCUGCACAUAGCACAUGCCAUUGGAGAGCAGAGCUCGCGCCAAGGUGCUAAUCAGCAUAUGUAUAUACACGCUUCAUACAUAAAUACAUACAUACAUACAUAUGUACAUAUGUACAUACAGUGAUGUGACUGACUGUCGUUGGCACUUGGAUUUCGUAUUUGGAAUGGGUCUGAGAAUGAGAAUCGGGGGAUCGGAUCGGUAUUUGGUAUUUGGUAUUUGGAUUUGGGGUGACUUUCUAAAUGCCCCUUCCACUACCACUGCCCCUCGUGGCAGCUGCAGCUGUUGCGUGUUCCAAGAAUUUGUCCAAACUGCCAACUGGAGCGACGAGCUCCGACACACUCCAAAGCCAGGGGGCAGCAUAGAAUGCAUUUUGUAACUAAAUUUAAAGACACUUUUUAUUGGCUUUGGGGUCGGGUCUCCCUACCCUGUUCAGGUAUACUGCAGAUCGGAAAUGGAAAUGAUAAAGGCACACGAAAACCACGAGUAUUAUAAUGUUUUUCCCAAGGGAAACCAUUCCAGUUCCCUACUCCGCCAUUAUUGACACUCAAAUGUAAUAGAUAUAGACAAUAAGUCCACCCAAUAAGAGUAUUGGAUCUGUGUUCAAUUUCGAAACAAAAUGUAAAAUCCAAACCCUAAAAGUUGUUGUCCCAAAAUCUGUUGAUAAUUAACAAUGAAUAAAGCGAAACUAUU
rnacentral:lncRNA from 1 species